AUGUCACAUCUGGGACUCUGCCAGCAGCACAGACGAACAGGGAGCCGGUUGGUCAGUCACCUCACGGCACCAGAGGACACGCCGCGACGCCUGCCGACUGAUAAAUCACAGCACAAAUCAAGACGGAGCGCUCGCCUGCUGACACAUCAUGAUAGAGAGACAGAGAUUCCACAGCAGGGAGCAUAUUUUCAGCAGAGGCAGCAGGAAAAGGACUGACCCAGGAGCUCAAAUGGGGGAAUAAUGGCCAAAUUCUCCACAUCCACAGAUAAAGAGUAAGACAAGGACAUAACCACUUUUUUUUAGCUUCAUUUUACAUUCCCUACUCUCACUGACUGAGAACAGUCAUACACAGUGCAGUGAAGUGUGCUGUGACACUCAGGAGACCGCUGGACUUCUGUAAUUCUUCAGUAAAGACCAGUGGUCUCCUCUCUAAGUUCAGUCCAGUUAGCCACGCAGUACAUCAGAUUCGUCUGUCUCUGCCAGCGCUGCCCUUUGUCACCAUUUCUGUUCAUAACCUGUAUGAUCCAUGAUCCUGUCUCUGCUUUUUGCAGAUGAUGUGCUCCUUCACUGAGUCGUGACCAGCUCUCACUGGAGUGGUUUGCAGCUGAGUGUGAAGCAGUGGGGAUGAGACCUGAGCACCUCCAAAUCUGAGGCUGUGGUUCUCAUAUUGGUGAAGACAGAGCAGAUCCGAAAGGCAAGGCUCUCAAUUUACUGGUCAGUCUUUCUACUUGUGUGUGUGGGUAGUGACAGAAAGAAUGAGAUCAAGUGGCCGAAAUCAGUUUAGACCUCUGGGUCUGCCGGAAUAGUUCAGGUUUAGCACCAAUUGAUGGCAGGUUAGACGUCAGCAUCAGUGUUACAUCAUUUAAAUUACUUGCAAAAAUGCAUUAACAUACAAUUUCUAAUAGUUUGCCUCUGGAUGUACGUUUAAAGUUACGUUUCCUAAGGAUUUCAGUAGUAGUUUUCAUGCUUUAAUAUAGUCUCUCUGGCCCUACUGUGGACACAGACUGGUUAAAAAUGCAGAGCAGCAUCUCCUGAGUUAACCUCUUUUUCCUGUUUCUUUAAAUGUGACAGGACGUUGGUUGACGAGGCUUAUGUCUGACACUCUGAGGCGGCUGUCCACAGAUAAUUUCCCAGUUUAAUUAACUGAUGUCAGCCCGCUGACAUUUUAUUUGAUCCUCCGCUAUCAGGUGACAAAAACAUGCAUGUUCAACAAAGU
rnacentral:lncRNA from 1 species